rnacentral:rRNA from 1 species
GACAGAGGAUGCAAGCGUUAUCCGGAAUGAUUGGGCGUAAAGCGUCUGUAGGUGGCUUUUAAGUCCGCCGUCAAAUCCCAGGGCUCAACCCUGGACAGGCGGUGGAAACUACCAAGCUGGAGUACGGUAGGGGCAGAGGGAAUUUCCGGUGGAGCGGUGAAAUGCGUAGAGAUCGGAAAGAACACCAACGGCGAAAGCACUCCGCUGGGCCGAUACUGACGCUGAGGAGCGAAAGCGUGGGGAGCGAACAGG